rnacentral:lncRNA from 1 species
ACACAGUAGUGAGUCCAUGGUGAUGCCCAGGAAAUGACUGCAGAAUAACAAAAUGCAUGUUCAGAAGGGACAACAGCAGGAGGAGGAAAAAGGGCUAUUAGCCCAAUGCUGAUCUUGGAUAUUGUUGGAAGACUGUGUUUCCUGAAAGACUGUGGUAACUUCUUAACUUGUUCAAACAGAUUGGCAUAAAUCAUGAGCUUUCCAAAGUCAAAGGUAUAAUUUCCAGGUGCAAGCUGUCUCUAAGUAUCUACAUCUUGUAAUGAUUUGAAAAAAAUUAGAACUAGAGCUUUCUAGAAGACACCUUCUCAUAUAUUAUCAAAAGACUUUACUCAAUGUAUUUUUAAAUACAAAUGAUCACCACAAAGCUCAGUGAUCCUAAUGAGAAACUGGAGUUUCCAAAUUAAUAGAUUAAUAAAUGUUUUUAGAAGAAAAUGGAAAAAGCCCAAAGGAAUUAUUAAAAGUAGUAGUCUUUUCUUAACAUAUUUUAAAUAUUUCAACUGUAUUAAAAGACAGACCCAUAAUUCUUAUGUCACACUAGCUUCUAAAAAGAGGGAUGUCAAUCACAAAGAUUAAGGACUCUCUAUACUGAAAACAGAGAACUUCCCAGAAGCAGAGAUCCUCUCGAAUCUACUUGUCUUUGAAAAACACGGGGUAGAUUAAUAUAUCCUCUUUCUCUCCUUUUUUUUUUUUGUUUUAUUUGCUUGUCAAAAGAUUAUUUAGUGGCAUUUAUUCCCCUCCUGCACUGCUCCCACUACUCAGUCCCCAGCUCUCAGCCCUUCCACAGUCUCUCAAUCACAAACAAAAGGCACAAUGGAGAAACUAAUAAAAGAACUAUGUUACUGUUCUCUGGAAUAAAUCAAAAUUUAUAUGUCCUAAGGAUAGAAGGCUCAGAUUAAAAUAUGUUUGAGACUCAGAGGAUUUACAAUAUGUUUGGCAUUCCAGUUUCAGAGAGAAAAUGGACCAAUAUGUUAGGGGAAUACUGAGGAUAUUUUAGCAGUUAUCGUCUCUCAUGCUUUUCUUCAUGAGUGUCAGUGUGAGAAAGCCAGGGAAAGCUGCUGUCCGUGAUAACCACGGAAAAGGAAAAAAUAUUCCCCAUGUUUCAAAACCAAUUCCCCGACUCUAGUCCUAAAGUGAUGGGGAACUAAGCACAACUGAGAGCCUCAGCAGUUUGUUACCUGAUAUAAAGAGAAGAUACCAUCCUAGUUCACGGCCUUUUUCUAUGUACAACUUUAAGGCAACUAACUUCUCCACUUUAAAAGUUAUGGCCAUAAAGGACUAGUUAACAGUUCACUGGAACCACCUUGCCUUUACUACCAACAGUAACAAAGUAUUUCAGUAACUUAAGGCCUAAAUAAAAUAAAAGUUAGCCACUUUAAAUAAUACUGUGGAUAUUUGUAAUAGAAUAAGUUUGAAAAGGCAUCCUUCAAACAGUCAUGGCUAGGUUUCCCAUCUCAAUCAGGGUUAAUUUAAAGUUUGCAAUCUAGGUAGAGAAGUCACUGAAUUAAAAAGAAACAUAUUUUAAGUUUGCUGUAAUUUUUUUCCCAGGAAAAAUUGGCAUCUACCUAACAACUGCAUUGUAGUCUCUUCGUGUAUAAUGGCUUUGUAGUGUAAGCAUUUAAUGUUUGCCUAUAUAGCACAACUCUAAGCAUUUUCAUUUCUUAAAUGUCAUUAAAUUAUCAGAGUGAUUGUAAUGCAACAUUUCAUGGUACAGUAACUAGAUGAAAUGCCAUAUUAUCUGCCCCAAGAACAACUGAUAGUGCCCCUUCCUGUUCAUUCAGCAAUUCACUUGCACAGUUUGCGUGGGAAAAAGAUGAUAGGUCAGUAUUAUGCAGUAUCUGUAAUUCUAAGGACCAUGGUUUAUUUAAUAGCACUGUCAGUCAAGAUCUAUGGCUUGAAGAAAUCUCAAGAGUUCAUUGUUAAUGCCACAGAGUUCAUAGGACAAUUUUCAGAAUAGUUACUUCCUUAUAAAUAGAAAAAUCUUGGGGUCAAUAAAUUGGUAUAUGUUACACUACAUUAAAAUCAUUUCUGCUAUAUCCGCUCUUGUCCCUACUUAUGUCAUUAAAAAAUUCACAUGAG